CUCCCAAACCCCUGUGAACAUACCACUUGUUGCCUCGGCGGAUCAGCCCGCUCCCGGUAAAACGGGACGGCCCGCCAGAGGACCCCUAAACUCUGUUUCUAUAUGUAACUUCUGAGUAAAACCAUAAAUAAAUCAAAACUUUCAACAACGGAUCUCUUGGUUCUGGCAUCGAUGAAGAACGCAGCAAAAUGCGAUAAGUAAUGUGAAUUGCAGAAUUCAGUGAAUCAUCGAAUCUUUGAACGCACAUUGCGCCCGCCAGUAUUCUGGCGGGCAUGCCUGUUCGAGCGUCAUUUCAACCCUCAAGCACAGCUUGGUGUUGGGACUCGCGUUAAUUCGCGUUCCUCAAAUUGAUUGGCGGUCACGUCGAGCUUCCAUAGCGUAGUAGUAAAACCCUCGUUACUGGUAAUCGUCGCGGCCACGCCGUUAAACCCCAACUUCUGAAUGUUGACCUCGGAUCAGGUAGGAAUACCCGCUGAAC
rnacentral:rRNA from 6 species